AAGGGGUGUGUGUGUGUAUCUUGAGGGCAAUAGGUUCAAUCCUCCCCUUAGAUCCUUUUUUAUUCCUUUGUUCAUUUUCCAUGUUUUGCUUUUUUUAAAUAUAUUUAUUUUAAUUUUUGCUUAUUUCUUAUUUGUUUGUUUUUUUCGUUUGAUUUUAUUUUUCUUGAUAUCAAAAUAUAAUAAAAUUAGGUUGGAUUAUUUUUUUGGCUCUUUUUUUUUUAUUUUUUUAUUUAGUUUCUUUUAUUCCUUUGUUCAUUUUCCAUGUUUUGCCUUUUUUAAAUAUAAUUAUUUUA
rnacentral:lncRNA from 1 species